rnacentral:rRNA from 1 species
ACCUGCAUUAUUUGACGUUACCUACAGAAGAAGCACCGGCUAACUCCGUGCCAGCAGCCGCGGUAAUACGGAGGGUGCGAGCGUUAAUCGGAAUUACUGGGCGUAAAGCGCAUGCAGGCGGCCGUGUUAAGUCAGAUGUGAAAGACCCGGGGCGUUAACCUCGGAAUUAGCAUUUGAAACUAGGCAGGCUAGAGUCUUGUAGAGGGGGGUAGGAAGUUUCAGGUGUAGCGGUGAAAUAGCGUAGAGAUCUGAAGGAAUACCAGUGGCGAAGGCGGCCCCCUCGGACAAAGACUGACGCUCAGAUGCGAAAGCGUGGGGAGCAAACAGGAUUAGAUACCCUGGUAG